CAGGAGAAGAACUGGCUGGUAUCACUUGUAACUGGCUGGUAGAACUGGUUCCAGAACAAUAACUGGUUGGUAGAACUGGUUCCAGGAGAAUAACUGGCUGGUAGAACUGGUUCCAGAACAAUAACUGGUUGGUAGAACUGGUUCCAGAACAAUAACUGGCUGGUAUAACUGGUUCCAGAACAAUAACUGGUUGGUAUCACUUGUUCCAGAAGAAUAACUGGCUGGUAGAACUGGUUCCAGAACAAUAACUGGUUGGUAGAACCGGUUCCAGAACAAUAACUGGAGCUGCUGUCUGGUCCUGCUCCGUGGGUCCCUGUGGUCCCCUCCUGCUGACCCUGCUCCGUCCUGCUGGCCCCCAGAAAGCACAUCCGAGCUGCAUUUGGAGGUUUCCAGAGCUGGCUUUGCCACGGUGCCUCGCUGUGCUGCUUAAUGACCCUCACUGUUAAAAAUGUGUCUUGUUUUAGAGGCUGAAUUUGUCUGGAUUCAGCUCCCAAGCCCUGGAUCUCAUUACAGCCCUGUCUGCGGGCCUGUGCUCAGGCACACGCUGGGAGCAGGAGCCUCCUCCCUUUGCUGGACCAACGUCCUCCACUGGAAACUUCAUUAUUUAAAUCUUCUUUUUCGCUCUCAGAGCUCUUUCCUGAAUUUUCUGCCGUUUACCAACUCCUUGGCUUGUGGAGGUGCAGUUUUCCAGCUGGGGUUGCAGGAGGCUUGGAUCCUUUAGCAGCCUUUUUUGUCUUCUUUCCCUUUUGAGAAGAAAAAAAAUCCUUUUUCUUCUCGUUUUGCCUUAGUCCAGGGACCAAGAUGUUAUUUCUGACAGGCAGGAGGGCCCGCCCCUGCCUGAGUCACGUUAUCUCUUCUGGCCACUGCCAGCAGACAGGGUCUGGAAGUGCUGUCAAAGCCGGAGUCCUCCCUCGGUGAACAGUGAGAUUCGAGAGAUGUAAAACUCAGUGCCAUUCCAUCAGAAGCCAACUCAACACUCCUCACCGUUUACAUACAAAUAUACCAAGCCAUAUAAACUUCC